rnacentral:rRNA from 1 species
AAUGAACGUUGGCGGCGUGGAUUAGGCAUGCAAGUCGAGCGAGAAACCUCGCAAGGGGUGGAAAGCGGCGUAAGGGAGAGGAACACGUGGUUCAUCUGCCCUCAGGUCCGGGAUAGCUGCGGGAAACUGCAGGUAAUACCGGAUGACAUCUCCGGAUCAAAGGUGUGAUUCCGCCUGAGGAUGAGACCGCGUCCUAUUAGCUAGUUGGUGAGGUAAUGGCUCACCAAGGCAAUGAUGGGUACCGGGUGUGAGAGCACGACCCGGCUCACUGGGACUGAGACACUGCCCAGACACCUACGGGUGGCAG